CCUACGUGGGGCAGCAGUGAGGAAUAUUGGUCAAUGGGCUUACGCCUGAACCAGCCAAGUCGCGUGAGGGAAGACUGCCCUAUGGGUUGUAAACCUCUUUUGUCAGGGAGCAAUUGGCGCUACGUGUAGCGUUAUCGAGAGUACCUGAAGAAAAAGCAUCGGCUAACUCCGUGCCAGCAGCCGCGGUAAUACGGAGGAUGCGAGCGUUAUCCGGAUUUAUUGGGUUUAAAGGGUGCGUAGGCGGAAUGCCAAGUCAGCGGUAAAAUCGCGGGGCUCAACCUCGCUCCGCCGUUGAAACUGGCGUUCUUGAGUGGGCGAGAAGGAUGCGGAAGGCGUGGUGUAGCGGUGAAAUGCAUAGAUAUCACGCAGAACUCCAGUGGCGAAGGCGACUAUCUGGCUGUACAUUGACGCUGAGGCUCGAAAGCAUGGGGAUCAAACAGGAUUAGAUACCCUAGUAGUC
rnacentral:rRNA from 1 species